GCUUCAGUGCGCAAUCCGGUGAAUUGAACAGUAAUGGGAGCAAUGAUCAGUGAGCCGCCGUAAUCUGUUCAGAAUCCAAAUCUAUCCGUGCUCUUCGUGAGGUGUCGAAGGUGGGCCGAACAAGUUUAGCUUUGAACAAAUUAGAAGUGCUCAAGCCGGCUCAAAAUGCUGCUUGAUAUUUCUUGCAUGGAAUAAUAGAAUAUGAUCUCGGGUCUAUUUGUUGGUUUUCAGAACUCCGAGGGUAAUGAUUAAUAGGGAUAACUGGGGGCAUUCGUAUUGCGACGUUAGAGGUGGAAAUUCUUGGAUCGUCGCAGACGAACAUCAGCGAAAGCAUUUGCCAAAGGUGUUUUCAUCAAUCAAGAACGAAAGUUAGAGGUUCGAAGGCGAUUAGAUAAAGCACUAGUUCUAACCGUAAAUAUGUCAUCUAGCGAUCCGCCGACGUUACUACAAUGGUUCGGCGGGCAGCUUCCGGGAAACCAGAGAUUUUGGACUCCGGGGGGAGUAUGGGUGCAAAGCUGAAACUUAAAGGAAUUGACGGAAGGGCACGCACCAGGAGUGGAGCCUGCGGCUUAAUUUGACUCAACACGGGAAAUCUCACCAGGCCCGGACACCGGAAGGAUUGACAGAUUAACAGCUCUUUCUUGAUUCGGUGGGUGGUGGUGCGAUGGCCGUUCCUUAGUUCGUGGAGCGAUUUGUCUGGUUAAUUCCGGUAACGAACGAGACUCUAGCCUGCUAAAUAGCCGUCGUCAUUUAGGUGUGCAGUGGCUCCGUCACGCAACUCACUGGCGACGUAUUAAAAUUCUUCUUAGAGGGACCGGCGGCUUCGAGCCGCACGAGAUUGAGCAAUAACAGGUCUGUGAUGCCCUUAGAUGUCCUGGGCCGCACGCGCGCUACACUGAAGGAAUCAGCAUGUUCUCCCUGGCCUAGAGGCCCGGGCAACCCGCUGAAACUCCUUCGUGCUGGGGAUUGGGGUUUGCAAUUAUCCCCCAUAAACGAGGAAUCCUAGAAGCGCGAGUACGCGCUAUAAGGUCUUU
rnacentral:rRNA from 1 species